GAUGAACGCUGGCGGCGUGCCUAAUACAUGCAAGUCGAACGAGGUGCUUUUGUAGCAAUACGAGAGUAUUCUAGUGGCGAACGGGUGAGUAACGCGUUGGUGACCUACCCCAAAGUGUGGGAUAACAGUCCGAAAGGACUGCUAAUACCGCAUGUGGUUAUUGGAUCUAGAAACCGGUAACUAAAGGAGCAAUUCGCUUUGGGAGGGACCUGCGUCCCAUCAGCUAGUUGGUGAGGUAAUGGCUCACCAAGGCGACGACGGGUAGGGGACCUGAGAGGGUGGCCCCCCACAAUGGAACUGAAACACGGUCCAUACACCUACGGGUGGCAGCAGUAGGGAAUAUUGCACAAUGGGCGAAAGCCUGAUGCAGCAACGCCGCGUGUGUGAUGAAGGCCUUCGGGUCGUAAAGCACUUUUCUGGGAGAUGAGAAAGGACAGUAUCCCAGGAAUAAGUCUCGGCUAACUACGUGCCAGCCGCCGCGGUAACAC
rnacentral:rRNA from 1 species